GAAGACGGUCAUAGUGAUGAGGCAAUACCUGUUACCAUUCCGAACACAGAAGUCAAGCUUGUCACGUCGGCUGUGUUAGUCUCACACCAGAGGCGAAACUCCGAUGCUGUCUUCG
rnacentral:rRNA from 1 species